GCCCGGCUAGCUCAGUUGGUAGAGCAUUCGACUCUUAUAAAGGGUUUCAGAACAAGUUUCUGUCAUCGAAUUGUCGUGGGUUCGAGCCCCACGUUGGGCG
rnacentral:tRNA from 1 species